rnacentral:tRNA from 1 species
UGGGGUGUGGCUUAGUGGUAGAGUGCUUGCCUAGCAUGUGUGAGGCACUGGGUUUGAUUCUCAGCACCACAU